CAUGUAGGCGGUUAUGUAAGCCUGAUGUGAAAUCUACGAGCUUAACUCGUAAACUGCAUUGGGUACUGCGUGACUUGAAUCAUAGAGGGGGAACUGGAAUUCCAAGUGUAGGGGUGGAAUCUGUAGAUAUUUGGAAGAACACCGGUGGCGAAGGCGGGUUUCUAGCUAAUGAUUGACGCUGAUAUGCGAAGGUGCGGGGAGCAAACAGGA
rnacentral:rRNA from 1 species